AGAAGAUCCCUUAUAAUAAUAAAGAAAGUUAAGUUUCGCUCUUAGAAGUUUGUAUCUCGUGUGUGGUAGUAGUUAGGAUUAAAAGCCUAACUAGCUAUACGCACGUAGUCGUAACUGAAAGGUUGAUCGACCACAGUGGGCCUGAAGAAAGCCCAUGACGAUUGUCACAGCAGUGAGGAAUAUUGGUCAAUAGCCUAACGGCUGAACCAGCAACUUGGAGGAAUGUAUAGCAAUAGCUACUUGCAUCUUUGUAAAUAUGAUGCAAGAUCGACUAUGUCGAAUAAAAUUCUAGGUAGAAUUAUGAUAAUGACAUUGUCUGCCUAUGUGUCUUGACCAAAUUACGUGCCAGCCGUCGCGGUAAUACGUAGAAGACUAGUGUUAUUCAUGUUUAAUCGGUUUAAAGGGUACCUAGACGGUAAAUCAAGCCUACAAAUAAAAGAAAUGAAGGGACUAAUUUGCUAGAGUUACUUGUGAGGGGGUAUUAAAGUACUGCUGGUGUAGAGAUGAAAUUCUGUCAUACCUCUUUUCAAUAGAAAAAUAAUGGCACAGGUAUAGGCGAAGGCAUCCCCUUAUGUGAUAACUGACGUUGAGGGACGAAGGCUUUGUGUAGCGAACAGGAUUAGAUACCCCAGUAGUCAAAGCAGAAAAUGAUGAAUGUCAUAGAUUAGAUAAAUAAGUUUAUUCUAUAAAUGAAAGUGUAAGCAUUCCACCUCAAGAGUAAUUUGGCAACAUUGGAACUGAAAUCAUUAGACCGUUUCUGAAACCAGUAGUGAAGUAUGUUGUUUAAUUUGAUGAUCCGCAAAAAACCUUACCACAAUUUGAAUAUUUAUAUUUUUUUUAUUGUUUUAUUUUUAAGGCAAUAAGAUAUAUUUACAAGCGUUGCACGGCUGUCUUCAGUUAAUGUCGCGAGACUCUGGUUAGUUCCAUGAAAUUAACGUAAACCCUUACUUUAUUUUUAUAUAGAGUAGUUCCCCGCUAUAUUGGAUAUGAUA
rnacentral:rRNA from 1 species